rnacentral:misc_RNA from 1 species
UUUCCGUAAGUGAACCUGCGGAAGGAUCAUUAAUGAAUAACUAUGGCGUUGGUUGUAGCUGGCUUUUAGGAGCACUUGUGCACACCCGUCAUUUUUAUCUUUCCACCUGUGCACUCAUUGUAGGCCUGGAUAACUCUCACUUUUAUCAAAAGUGGAUACGAGGAUUGCUGAGCUGCAAUAUGCUCAGCUUUCUUUGAAUUUCCAGGUUCUAUGUCUUUUUUACACACCCCAAUUGUAUAAUGAAGAAUGUAGUCAAUGGGCUUUCAUGCCUAUAAAACAUAAUACAACUUUCAGCAACGGAUCUCUUGGCUCUC